UACGAAGGGGGCUAGCGUUGUUCGGAAUUACUGGGCGUAAAGCGCGUGUAGGCGGGCCGUUAAGUCGGGGGUGAAAGCCCAGAGCUCAACUCUGGAACUGCCUUCGAUACUGGCGGCCUGGAGCAUGAUAGAGGCGAGUGGAAUUGCGAGUGUAGAGGUGAAAUUCGUAGAGAUUCGCAGGAACACCAGUGGCGAAGGCGACUCGCUGGAUCAUUGCUGACGAUGAGACGCGAAAGAGUGGGGAGCAAACAGG
rnacentral:rRNA from 1 species